UAAGCUUCUGGACUUACAACAGGUAUUUCAUGAUUAUAAUUUUAUGUCUUUGUACUGAAUUGUUGUUUUUUUUAAGUCCAAUGAUGCAGUCUGUUUUGAUUUCAACAUUAAUUUAAAUCACACAACAAUUUCAACAAUUUAAUACACACACGCACACAGAGCAAGCGGAACACACCAUUCAGUGUUAGGUACUGUUAUCAGAAUCGGUUGACAGCCUAAAACCUCAACAUAAAAUAGAAAAAGAAAAAGAAACUAAGAAAUAAAGAAGGAAGAUUAAAGAUGAAAUUCCUCAAAAUAGGCUCCUACACCAGGCAACAAAGUCUUCUUCUCUCAGAACUCCCAUCUUGGCUAGCAAUCUGCAACAGAACCAGGAUGGUCUAUUAGUUGUGGUCAACUUUUUCAGUAGACCAACUGAGAUUUGUGGCAUCUUGUAGUAUAAAGGUAAAAAUUUGAGUUUGCAAAACGUAGUGUUUGUAAGGUCCUACAUCAUGCAUUUUCUUUCUGGUAAGAAGGAUAUCCACUUAAAAUAAAAUUGCUAGGAUACCCUUGUUUCCAUCAAUAACUUCACUCCACAAACAUAUAAUUGCUAAAGAGAGGCUUGUCACCAAGUUUCCAUAAAUAGCCUUUGCUAAAAUGGGAUCAUAACUAUGCAACUCCACUCCGAAGAUGCAUUGAAACUUAGACCUAUGUGCUCCUGUUUUCAAGUAGGCAUAAUACAUAAGCAUGUUAUUGGAGCACUUGCUCCUGUAAUUCUAGGAAGGGAAUUGUUGAAAUGGAGCAUUUUUCCUCAUUAUUAUAACUUCUUGGAAUAGAAUUAUCCUUGUGGAUGUUUUGGGGAGCUACAUGUGUGCAUGUGCACAAAUCAACGGGCUCUGUUAAAAUAUGUGAGAGAGAGAGAGAGAGAGA
rnacentral:misc_RNA from 1 species